CCAACACAACCCUGUUUGUGAGCAGUGGUCAGCCGCUCCACCUCGUGUCCAGUCUAUCUGAAGACGGCUCGGCUGGAGGAGAGCUUUUCUGGGACGACGGAGAGAGCAUCGACACCUUUGAGACAGACCAGUACGCUCACGUAGUGUUCACUGUGGUGAAGAACACGAUGACAUCGGAGGUGCUGCACGACCACGUGGAGGCUUCCUACAUCACCGUGGAAACAGCCUCCUUCUAUGGCGUGAAGGUGGAGCCUACCAGGGUUACGGUCAACUCCCAUGAUGCUGCAUUCACCUACAGAGCCAAUCAGGUGUUGACUGUAACAGACCUGGGACUGAAUCUCAGCCAGAACUUCACCAUCAGUUGGAUCUAACAGCUUUUCCCCCC